GAUGAACGCUGGCGGCGUGCCUAAUACAUGCAAGUCGAGCGAACAGAUGAGGAGCUUGCUCCUCUGACGUUAGCGGCGGACGGGUGAGUAACACGUGGAUAACCUACCUAUAAGACUGGGAUAACUACGGGAAACCGGAGCUAAUACCGGAUAAUAUAUUGAACCGCAUGGUUCAAUAGUGAAAGACGGUUUUGCUGUCACUUAUAGAUGGAUCCGCGCCGCAUUAGCUAGUUGGUAAGGUAACGGCUUACCAAGGCAACGAUGCGUAGCCGACCUGAGAGGGUGAUCGGCCACACUGGAACUGAGACACGGUCCAGACUCCUACGGGAGGCAGCAGUAGGGAAUCUUCCGCAAUGGGCGAAAGCCUGACGGAGCAACGCCGCGUGAGUGAUGAAGGUCUUCGGAUCGUAAAACUCUGUUAUUAGGGAAGAACAAAUGUGUAAGUAACUAUACACGUCUUGACGGUACCUAAUCAGAAAGCCACGGCUAACUACGU
rnacentral:rRNA from 1 species